rnacentral:rRNA from 1 species
UGCGUAGGUGGAAUAUUAAGUCAGUGGUGAAAUCCCAGAGCUCAACUCUGGAACUGCCAUUGAAACUGGUAUUCUUGAAUAUAGUUGAGGUAGGCGGAAUGUGUAAUGUAGCGGUGAAAUGCUUAGAUAUUACACAGAACACCGAUUGCGAAGGCAGCUUACUAAACUAUGAUUGACGCUGAUGCACGAAAGCGUGGGGAGCGAACAGGAUUAGAUACCCUGGUAGUCC